UUCUCAAACAUGCUCCUUCAAUCAAUUCUUAAAACCCUAAUUUCAAUUUCAUACAAGCAUGGCAGACGAUCAUGUAAACCCUAGCCUCGCUCACAUUCAUCGCUCUACUGCUAUCAUCAUCAUCUUCUACAAAUGAUUCAACAAAUAGGUACACUAUUUGACAAACCCUAGGUAUCAACACGCCUGUUCUUCUUCUACGUUGAUUCAUCAUCCAGAAUUUAUCGGUAUUGUCUUUGUCCAUCCAUUUUUACAGCCUGAUGUAUGGGUUAAGUUUCAUUUAAUUAGGGUUUAUUUUCUGUGAAGCCUUGGAUUGAGAUCGAGUUUUGCUUUUCAAUCGAUUAUACACUCCAAAUGCUUAGGGUUUUUCAAUUCCUCAUUUCCAUUUUACAUUGCAGCGGCCUGUUCUUCUCCAUCUUCAAAUCUUUGAUCUUCAUAUGCAUAUACAAAAUUGAACAAGAUCCUAUCCUCUUCCAUAGACUAUCACCAUUUUUACAGUGGUGGUUUUCUUGAUUAUUCUUUUUCAACUGGAUUAUCGGAUUUUUUUUGCAACAAUUACUUUCUAGGGUUUGAAUUGACGAAUCUGAAUUUGGAUAUCCGAUUAGUUAGGGUCUAAUGUAUAGGGUUUCAAUGUUUUUUAUUCCAUUAUUGAUUCUUUUUUUUUUAUGGAUAUUCAUAUGUAUUUUUUUGUGGCUGGCUAGAUUCUUCAAUUGUUGAUGCAACUCUAAUUGAAGGUGUGAGUGAUUUGUUAUUUUUUAUUAUUAUACUAUUCGAGGAUAAUGUUGAUGCUUUUUGGUGCUUUGAGAUGUUUCUAGGAAGAAUUGUAUUGUUGUGCAUUCUUUGAAGCUUUGCAGAAAAAAUAAGUAGAAUCGGUUAGAAAGAGAGGACAGAGGACAAGAAAGAUUAUGGUAGCACACAUCCGGCGGUGGUGGGCGUGCAAGAAGAACAGAGGCGCCGACUGACGCUUCUUACCAGAUUAGGGUUCCUGUUGAUAUCCGGUCAAGCUCUUUCGUCUUGCAGGUCUGAUCUUAGAGGUGAUGCUGACUACUGAUGAAAGUGGUCAACCUGACCUAACUUUUAGUCAACCUGACCCAACUUUACAUGGUACCCAACCUGAUCAUUUUGGUUUUGUGGACAUGCAGCCUUGUGAGUCAACCUGACCCAACUUCACAUGGUACCAAGUUUCUUAUUUCAUAAGUAAAUUUAAAAUUUAAUGUGGGAUUUGGUUUGAGUUUCUCUAAGAGUACCGACAAUUCAUCUACUGAUGUUUUUGUACUUAGGCUUGGUUGAUGCUUCUAGGGCACUUCCUCUUUAAUUUGAGUUUUGGUGUUAUAAACGUAUGAAGGUAUUAAUUAUAAGUACUUGCAAAGAACACAAUUAUUGAAUUUUGUUAAUCUAGAUAAGUAAAUAUGUGUAUGCAGUUUCAUGACAAUUAUAUAAGCUUCAUCUAUUUGUAGGUACUUACUUGAACUAGCUUUGCCCUUUCGCAUUUGACAAGAUGUUUUCAGCCUAUUUUAAAUAUGUGGUGGGUCAACAAUUUCAAUUUUUUUUGAAAAACUUAGUCAACCUGACCCAACUUUACACAGUACCCAACCCGAUCAUUUUGGUUUUGUGGACAUGCAACCUUGUGAGUCAACCUGACCCAACUUUACACGGUACCAAGUUUCUUAUUUCAUAAGUAAAUUUAAAAUUUAAUGUGGGAUUCGGUUUGAGUUUUUCUAAGAGUACUGACAAUUCAUCUACUGAUCUUUUUUUGUACUUAGGCUUGGCUGAUGCUUCUAGGGCACUUCCUCUUUAAUUUGAGUUUUGGUGUUAUAAAUGUACGAAGGUAUUAAUUAUAAGUACUUGCAAAGAACACAUUUAUUGAGUUUUGUUAAUCUAGAUAAGUAAAUAUGUGUAUGCAGUUUCAUGACAAUUAUAUAAGCUUCAUCUAUUUGUACGUACUUGCUCGAAGUAGCUUUGCCCUUUUGUAUUUGGAAGAGCCGAAACAACCCAGGUUUGUUUUGUUGUGUAGUGGAUUAAAGUGGGUUUGGUUGAAACAAGCCAGUGUAAGUAAAUUUGUAUUACAACAAAUGGAAGGGGAAAAAUUGAAAAAAAUAAUAUGUUUUACAAGUAGAUGCAGGUGAAGUCAUUACAAUUUUGGAAACUCACAAGGCACCGAUCCAAGUAGUAAGGAGUUUACAUACCGGUGAAGUCAUUACAGGUUUAAAUGUAUCUUACUCAUUAAAUUACAAUUUUGGAUUUGUUUUUUGGUGUUUCAUUAAUCCUCCAUUUCUUUACCAUCUAUUUAUGUUUUCUAUUGUUUGUCGUCUUUCCAUUAUCCCAAUCCUUCGUAUUUAGGUCCCAAUUUAUUGUCUUUUGUCGCUUCUUUAUUCUAAAUAAUAUGUACAGGGGACCAUGUUUGUGAAUGGAAGUUUCUAUGACCAAGCUGGCUACACUUAUGAAUGGAGUUGUUUGAUAUAAUUGUCAUCCAGGUUCAAGCGACAACACAAUAAACUUUGAAGGGAAGCACGUGUACGCAAACUUUUUUCUAUUCAUACAGGUUGACAUUUAACUUAAUGCUCGUGGUGGUGGAUUUGAAGAUGAAACUACUAGACCAGAGAGUUUAUAGUUUAUGACAACAUGUGAUGAAUUAAUGUCAAAAGUCUUCUCAUUCUUGGUGCGACAACUGGUCUUUUGAUCUUGACGAUGCCAUGCUCCGAUGGUCAUCACCACGGUGGUAAGAUAAUAACCUAUUUGUAGGUGGGGUUGCAUAUUCAUCUAUUUCAAUUUGUCGUUGUAAUCUAAUUUAUUUUGUUUGUGUUUUAACGUGUAUAAAAGUAUAAUAUUUAAUGUCAGCGGUAUUAAUGAAGAAAUUUCUUUUA